rnacentral:rRNA from 1 species
GGGUUGUGAGGUUAAGCGACUAAGCGUACACGGUGGAUGCCCUGGCAGUCAGAGGCGAUGAAGGACGUGCUAAUCUGCGAUAAGCGUCGGUAAGGUGAUAUGAACCGUUAUAACCGGCGAUUUCCGAAUGGGGAAACCCAGUGUGUUUCGACACACUAUCAUUAACUGAAUCCAUAGGUUAAUGAGGCGAACCGGGGGAACUGAAACAUCUAAGUACCCCGAGGAAAAGAAAUCAACCGAGAUUCCCCCAGUAGCGGCGAGCGAACGGGGAGCAGCCCAGAGCCUGAAUCAGUGUGUGUGUUAGUGGAAGCGUCUGGAAAGGCGCGCGAUACAGGGUGACAGCCCCGUACACAAAAAUGCACAUACUGUGAGCUCGAUGAGUAGGGCGGGACACGUGGUAUCCUGUCUGAAUAUGGGGGGACCAUCCUCCAAGGCUAAAUACUCCUGACUGACCGAUAGUGAACCAGUACCGUGAGGGAAAGGCGAAAAGAACCCCGGCGAGGGGAGUGAAAAAGAACCUGAAACCGUGUACGUACAAGCAGUGGGAGCACGCUUAGGCGUGUGACUGCGUACCUUUUGUAUAAUGGGUCAGCGACUUAUAUUCUGUAGCAAGGUUAACCGAAUAGGGGAGCCGAAGGGAAACCGAGUCUUAACUGGGCGUUAAGUUGCAGGGUAUAGACCCGAAACCCGGUGAUCUAGCCAUGGGCAGGUUGAAGGUUGGGUAACACUAACUGGAGGACCGAACCGACUAAUGUUGAAAAAUUAGCGGAUGACUUGUGGCUGGGGGUGAAAGGCCAAUCAAACCGGGAGAUAGCUGGUUCUCCCCGAAAGCUAUUUAGGUAGCGCCUCGUGAAUUCAUCUCCGGGGGUAGAGCACUGUUUCGGCAAGGGGGUCAUCCCGACUUACCAACCCGAUGCAAACUGCGAAUACCGGAGAAUGUUAUCACGGGAGACACACGGCGGGUGCUAACGUCCGUCGUGAAGAGGGAAACAACCCAGACCGCCAGCUAAGGUCCCAAAGUCAUGGUUAAGUGGGAAACGAUGUGGGAAGGCCCAGACAGCCAGGAUGUUGGCUUAGAAGCAGCCAUCAUUUAAAGAAAGCGUAAUAGCUCACUGGUCGAGUCGGCCUGCGCGGAAGAUGUAACGGGGCUAAACCAUGCACCGAAGCUGCGGCAGCGACGCUGAUGCGUUGUUGGGUAGGGGAGCGUUCUGUAAGCCUGCGAAGGUGUGCUGUGAGGCAUGCUGGAGGUAUCAGAAGUGCGAAUGCUGACAUAAGUAACGAUAAAGCGGGUGAAAAGCCCGCUCGCCGGAAGACCAAGGGUUCCUGUCCAACGUUAAUCGGGGCAGGGUGAGUCGACCCCUAAGGCGAGGCCGAAAGGCGUAGUCGAUGGGAAACAGGUUAAUAUUCCUGUACUUGGUGUUACUGCGAAGGGGGGACGGAGAAGGCUAUGUUGGCCGGGCGACGGUUGUCCCGGUUUAAGCGUGUAGGCUGGUUUUCCAGGCAAAUCCGGAAAAUCAAGGCUGAGGCGUGAUGACGAGGCACUACGGUGCUGAAGCAACAAAUGCCCUGCUUCCAGGAAAAGCCUCUAAGCAUCAGGUAACAUCAAAUCGUACCCCAAACCGACACAGGUGGUCAGGUAGAGAAUACCAAGGCGCUUGAGAGAACUCGGGUGAAGGAACUAGGCAAAAUGGUGCCGUAACUUCGGGAGAAGGCACGCUGAUAUGUAGGUGAAGUCCCUCGCGGAUGGAGCUGAAAUCAGUCGAAGAUACCAGCUGGCUGCAACUGUUUAUUAAAAACACAGCACUGUGCAAACACGAAAGUGGACGUAUACGGUGUGACGCCUGCCCGGUGCCGGAAGGUUAAUUGAUGGGGUCAGCGCAAGCGAAGCUCUUGAUCGAAGCCCCGGUAAACGGCGGCCGUAACUAUAACGGUCCUAAGGUAGCGAAAUUCCUUGUCGGGUAAGUUCCGACCUGCACGAAUGGCGUAAUGAUGGCCAGGCUGUCUCCACCCGAGACUCAGUGAAAUUGAACUCGCUGUGAAGAUGCAGUGUACCCGCGGCAAGACGGAAAGACCCCGUGAACCUUUACUAUAGCUUGACACUGAACAUUGAGCCUUGAUGUGUAGGAUAGGUGGGAGGCUUUGAAGUGUGGACGCCAGUCUGCAUGGAGCCGACCUUGAAAUACCACCCUUUAAUGUUUGAUGUUCUAACGUUGACCCGUAAUCCGGGUUGCGGACAGUGUCUGGUGGGUAGUUUGACUGGGGCGGUCUCCUCCUAAAGAGUAACGGAGGAGCACGAAGGUUGGCUAAUCCUGGUCGGACAUCAGGAGGUUAGUGCAAUGGCAUAAGCCAGCUUGACUGCGAGCGUGACGGCGCGAGCAGGUGCGAAAGCAGGUCAUAGUGAUCCGGUGGUUCUGAAUGGAAGGGCCAUCGCUCAACGGAUAAAAGGUACUCCGGGGAUAACAGGCUGAUACCGCCCAAGAGUUCAUAUCGACGGCGGUGUUUGGCACCUCGAUGUCGGCUCAUCACAUCCUGGGGCUGAAGUAGGUCCCAAGGGUAUGGCUGUUCGCCAUUUAAAGUGGUACGCGAGCUGGGUUUAGAACGUCGUGAGACAGUUCGGUCCCUAUCUGCCGUGGGCGCUGGAGAACUGAGGGGGGCUGCUCCUAGUACGAGAGGACCGGAGUGGACGCAUCACUGGUGUUCGGGUUGUCAUGCCAAUGGCACUGCCCGGUAGCUAAAUGCGGAAGAGAUAAGUGCUGAAAGCAUCUAAGCACGAAACUUGCCCCGAGAUGAGUUCUCCCUGACUCCUUGAGAGUCCUGAAGGAACGUUGAAGACGACGACGUUGAUAGGCCGGGUGUGUAAGCGCAGCGAUGCGUUGAGCUAACCGGUACUAAUGAACCGUGAGGCUUAACCUUACAACGCCGAAGCUGUU